rnacentral:rRNA from 1 species
CUUGGUCAUUUAGAGGAGUAAAAGUCGUAACAAGGUUUCCGUAGGUGAACCUGCGGAAGGAUCAUUAUCGAAUCGUAGGCGAGGGUUGUCGCUGGCCUCUCGGGGCAUGUGCACGCCCGAGCCCUUGAAUCCCAAACACCACAUGUGAACCCACCGUAGGCCUUCGGGCCUAUGUCUUAUCAUAUAAUCCGAAUGUCUAAUAAAAUGUAAACCCAUUUCGUUGCCUUGAAAACGUAACGAAAGAAAACUAUACAACUUUCAACAACGGAUCUCUUGGCUCUCGCAUCGAUGAAGAACGCAGCGAAAUGCGAUAAGUAAUGUGAAUUGCACAUUUUCAGUGAAUCAUCGAAUCUUUGAACGCACCUUGCGCCCCUUGGUAUUCCGAGGGGCAUGCCUGUUUGAGUGUCAUUAAAUCCUCAACCCCUCCGAUUCGUUUCGGUGGGGAUUGGACUUGGAGCGUGCUGGCGAAGGUCGGCUCCUCUUUAAAUGCAUCAGCGGAAAAAAUGCCUUUUGCGCCUCUGGCCGUUCAGCGUGAUAAUGAUGUUGCGCUGCGGUCGAGCUUAAGGUCCGCUUCCAAAGGUCCUCGGACAAAUAUACAUAUGACUUUUGACCUCAAAUCAGGUAGGACUACCCGCUGAACUUAAGCAUAUCAAUAAGCGGAGGAA